GAGAACGCUCAUACGGUGGA
rnacentral:siRNA from 1 species